AUGAUUUUGAGGGAGCAGAACUUCCUUGAGAAAAAUGCUAAGCAGUGAUGUCCACCUACUCAAAGGGGCACUGCAGGUUUUGUAGCACAGGACAGAGACUUAACCCAGCUGAAUCCCAGUGGGAAAUGAAGCCCUUACUCUGGAGGCGCACCUUUAGCUAAGGGCUCUACUGUGAUGAUUUCACUGCUGUUGCCUCUUCCGGCUGAAGUCACGGCCACCACCCAGACGCUGUACUGGCGAUUUCGACUCAGGGGACACAGAGCUUCUGCUGUUGGCCAAGAUGAAAUAACAAGAGUUAGAUGAUCACUUCCACCCAGAGCAACCAAAGAGCACACAGAGGAUAUGAAAAGGGGUCCUGCAUUUUUAAGAGGGUUUUAAAGCCAUGGCACAUGGAGGGGACCCAAAAGGGUCCUAGCAGUCUCAAGUUAAGAAGAAGACAGAGCUGAGGAGAGGAGGUGGGAAUUCACAGGGAGAGUACUGGAAAUGAGCGUUAUACAGAGAGAACUCCAGAAAUCUGAAGAGGGUUCUACUUGGGCAUUCAGCUGAGCGGAUCCUGGCCUGCACUCGUGGAAACAUCCUGAAGCCCAGGAAAGAACCACCUGAAAGUAUUGGCAGUCGCACUGCUCAGCACUGACACAGGGCUGGGAAUAGUGCCUGUUCCUACCAGCCACAUUCAACAACAUCAACAUUCACCGUGGACUGGGACAGUGCAUGAGGUUCUUACCUCAAAGGGAAGAAUAAUUAGCUCAAGAUCGAGCCCUACGUUAGUCUUGCUUAACAGAUUCUAAAAUCAAAAUUCAGAAAGAACAGAUAACAUUAAGCAAUUUAACUGCAUCCUUGAAUGAGG
rnacentral:lncRNA from 1 species